UCAAUUAGGAAACCUUUUUAUUAUACACACUAACAAGUGGGGUAAACCAAGAUCAGGCACAUCUUCAUCAGGAAAAGCUCAUUUUAUAAAAUUGGUUGGCCAGCCGCAAGUCCCUCCUUCCACGCCCACAAGAAGGGGCAUACCAGUUUACAGAGGUAUCGCGUCUACCUCAUUAUACCUCAUUAACAGUUUACCAUUCCAUUUCCAUGUUAAUCAGAAUACAAUACAAUACAAUACAAAUACCUUUAUUGCAUUUCAAGUUAAGACAUUUCAAAAUGGCAUGAGAUACAAAGUCUUUCUUCUUCCUGUUUCCGAGAGAUUUGAUUGGGGAAAUCCUUUCGAUUCUUCAUGAAUAAAAGGCAGUGGUGUGAGGGAGGCCAGGGCCACAUCCACACCAUUUAAAGCGCUAUGAAGCCGCUUUAAACACUCAUGGCUUCCCCCCCCCCAAAGAAUCUGGGAGCUAUAUAGGGUGCUGAGAGUUGUUAGGAGACCCCCUGUUCCCUGGCAAGAAGGGAACACUACCCCUACCCCUGACACUAACCCUAACUCUAACCCCAACACUAACCCUUAACCCUUAACUAGAGCUACAAUUCCCAGAGUUCCCUGCCAAGGGAACCCCAACCCUACCCCUGCCCCUAACUCUAACCCUUAACCCUUAACUAGAGCCGCAAUUCCCAGAGUUCCUUGGCAAGAAGGGAACCCUACCCCUACCCUAACCCAACCCUAACUCUAACCCUAAUCCUAAUCCUAAACCACCCUAACAACUCUCCGUCCCCUUAACCACCUACAGUUCCCAGAUUCCCUGAGGGGAAGCCAUUUCUGUUUAAAGCGUCUUCAUAGCACUUCCAAUGGACGGUGCGCCUAAUGUUUCCUCCCUCAUUUUCUUCUCUCUCCCCACUGCCCCAUCACAUGCAAUGCAGCAGAUGUCCGCCUGCAGUCUCCCUUCAAAGCUCCUUCUCUCACGUAUGGCCACGGCCUUGUCCAUUGCUUACUGCCAGUAUUUCACGUUCAUUUCUCCAAUGUAAAUAGGGACGUCCUGCGGUUCUCUUCAUGACUUUUAAGGCUGGACUUGGGGAAAACCUGACCGGCUCCAGACAUCCCUGUAUGGCAAAGGCAAACAGGUGAGUGGGACGGCCCCCAUCUGACAGCGUCCCCCCAGACUCCUCCUCUGUUUGGCUGCCUGUUCACAAACAAGGCUUCCAAACCUGUUUGCAUCCAUCUCAGCCAGCGUAGCCUCGCGGCAUCCAAUGGCCUGAAUGCAAACUCUUCCGACAACCAUCCACCAGCUGCAGCCUCGCCAGGUCCAUUGCCAGACAUCAGCCAGCUUCAGAGCUGAAUAUCAGUCGCCUUCUAGUAGCGACCCCACCAGCAAGUAAACUUUGUACUUGCCUUCUCCUUGCUCCACAGCAUCCCAGCACCGGGCGAUUGGCUCCUUCCGCUUGCCAGCUUCCCGCCACAGGCAGAAGACCACCUGGGCUGAGUGUCACCAAGCUGCCCAUUUCUCUCUGGGGAGGGCAACUGCCGAGGCUUGCGCCUUGGCCCACAUUUAUACCCGCUCAGCAGCCAAAUGUUUUUGUCACAUCACAGUCAACCCACAGACAAUGGCAGCAGCUGGGGAGGCAUCACCAUCACCCUCUCAGCCCUCACAAUGGUGAGCACAGCUUAGCAGCCAAAAUACA
rnacentral:lncRNA from 1 species